rnacentral:lncRNA from 1 species
AAUAAGAAGCAGCCCAGGUCCACGAGGGAGGGCCAUGGGAGAGGUUGCCGAGAGCAGGGCUGGCAACCUGUUGGGUCCCUGGCAGAAAUUCUCAUGCGAAGUGAAGGCAGUCCGACAAUGGGACACCAAACAUCAAAAGCUCUCACUGACGUGUGGACUCUCAAAAAAGGACACCACGAACUUCUCCGCAGAACAGGUACGGACUCAACAGACGUUGAAAAACUUACGGUUUCCGAAGGAGACAGGGAGGCGGGUGGGGGGACGCGCUGAGGGUUUGGGGUGGACAUGCCGUCACAUUUGGUUGUGGCGAUUGUUGGACACCUAUACAUGUAAUAAAAUUCAUUAAGU